CUAAAAUUAAGUGUGUUUUUGUUGUAGAUAUUUGACAAGCUUAACACUGAGAUGCAAACAGACAAAGCUUAGAUCCAUGUGGUCAGAAGAAGCAUGGAAGUAUUCUACAAGAAACUCCUCACCCAUUUCCUCAAGCCAUCUGCUUUGAGUAGUGGUGGUGUCCUUGAUGUCAACUUCACCAUCGGCUACAACAUAAAGUCUGCACAGGGUUUGGUAAUCGGUUCAGGAGCCAGGGGCCAUUUGUCAUCUCCUGGAGUGGUCAAGAAAGCUGAAGAACGGUUUUUCAAAGAUGUAUUAUCCUUUACCAAGAAGCUUACCUGAAGAAAUGUGUAGUUACAAGUGGACAGUCCCUGUGGAAGCAUGCUGAGCUGAGGCUACCAUUGAUGAUUUGCAGCUUGAGUACCUGGACUACCAGAAUGAGGAUCUGCCAGAUACAGAGACUGUUGAGGAACAAUAGCUCAAGAUAACUAUGGUUAAAGACCUCAGUGGGUCACCAAGACUCAAGUUGCUGUUUACUGUCAUGCUGGGAAUACUGCUCAUUCCAGUCAGCAACGCUGCCUGUGAGAGUGUUUUUCAGUGUUGUAAGGAAGAACAGAACUGUGUUCCAUUCUUCAAUGGGAAUGGACACCACAGAGGCACUGAUGAUCCUCAAAGCAAAAGGAAUUGUCUGCCAUCAUGAGGAACUUGGUGAUGAUUUGCUGAAGAAGUGCAAAAACACUACAUUUGUUAGCUUAAGGAAAAAUGAACUGUUGUAACUUGAAAUACAAGACACAACUAAUGUGAUGCUAGCAGAAUGAAUAAUGCAUAU